UACGUAGGGUGCAAGCGUUAAUCGGAAUUACUGGGCGUAAAGCGUGCGCAGGCGGUUGUGCAAGACCGAUGUGAAAUCCCCGGGCUUAACCUGGGAAUGGACAUUGGUGACUGCACGGCUAGGAGUGUGUCAGAGGGGGUAGGAAUUCCACGUGUAGCAGUAGAAAUGCGUAGAGAUGUGGACGGAAUGACCGAUGGCGAAG
rnacentral:rRNA from 1 species